rnacentral:rRNA from 1 species
CGACCGGCGCACGGGUGAGUAACACGUAUGGAACCUGCCCGCAGCAGGGGGAUAAGCGGAAGAAAUUCCGUCUAAUACCGCGUAACACCGCGGAGGGGCAUCCCUCGGCGGUUAAAGAUUCAUCGGCUGCGGAUGGCCAUGCGGCGCAUUAGCUAGUCGGCGGGGUAACGGCCCACCGAGGCGACGAUGCGUAGGGGUUCUGAGAGGAAGGUCCCCCACACUGGUACUGAGACACGGACCAGACUCCUACGGAAGGCAGCAG